GCCCUGGCACACAAUGGAAACAGUUCUCAUCUUGGUUUGCUUCCAGACUGGGAUGCUGGGAAGGAUUCUCCAUUAGCCUGGCGCUCUGAAGUUGUGAAGCCCUCCGAGCAUUCUUCAGAUAUAUCUGGAGCAAUGACUGCACCAACUCCUACCUUGGAUGCUGCACAAAAGCCCAGCUCCCAUGGCAGGGGUCCUCUGACAGGAGAGACCAAAGACAUGGCAGGCAAGAAAUACCAGGACCCAUUAGAAAUCAUGUGGCAAAUGCUGAAGGAAUGUCUGCAGAGAAGACAAGAAAUGAACAGAGAACCUGUGCAGAAAGAAGCAUUUCCCGGAGGAAGCAGUGGUUGCAUGCCAGCCUCAGCUCCAGGAAGGGAGGCCAUGCCAGGCACAGGCA